CCUGGCUCAGGAUGAACGCUGGCGGCGUGCUUAACACAUGCAAGUCGAACGGUGAAGCCCAGCUUGCUGGGUGGAUCAGUGGCGAACGGGUGAGUAACACGUGAGCAACCUGCCCCUGACUCUGGGAUAAGCGCUGGAAACGGCGUCUAAUACCGGAUAUGUACCACGAUCGCAUGGUCUGUGGUUGGAAAGAUUUUUCGGUUGGGGAUGGGCUCGCGGCCUAUCAGCUUGUUGGUGAGGUAAUGGCUCACCAAGGCGUCGACGGGUAGCCGGCCUGAGAGGGUGACCGGCCACACUGGGACUGAGACACGGCCCUAGACUCCUACGGGAGGCAGCAGUGGGGAAUAUUGCACAAUGGGCGCAAGCCUGAUGCAGCAACGCCGCGUGAGGGAUGACGGCCUUCGGGUUGUAAACCUCUUUUAGCAGGGAAGAAGCGAAAGUGACGGUACCUGCAGAAAAAGCGCCGGCUAA
rnacentral:rRNA from 1 species